GACGAACCGUGCGAACGUUGUUCGGAAUCACUGGGCUUAAAGGGCGCGUAGGGGGCUUGUCAAGUCAGGGGUGAAAUCUUUCGGCUUAACCGGAAAAGUGCCUUUGAUACUGACAGGCUCGAGGGAGGUAGGGGUAUGUGGAACUUCCGGUGGAGCGGUGAAAUGCGUUGAUAUCGGAAGGAACGCCGGUGGCGAAAGCGACGUACUGGACCUCUUCUGACGCUGAGGCGCGAAAGCUAGGGGAGCAAACGGG
rnacentral:rRNA from 1 species